CGCUCAUUUCCUCGUCAGCCGCGCUCCGAGGAGGUGCCCGGUUUUGCUCCCCCCUCCUAUGACCGGUCGCUUUCCGCCUCCUCGGCCUGAUCCGCUCGCCUGAGCCCUUCCUCGAGUCAAGCCGAGCCCCGCGGGGGCCCCUGCCCGCCAUGAGCUACGGGCGGCCGCCGCCCGACGUGGAGGGCAUGACGUCCCUGAAGGUGGACAACCUGACCUACCGCACGUCCCCGGACACGCUGCGCCGCGUCUUCGAGAAGUACGGCCGCGUGGGCGACGUCUACAUCCCCCGCGACCGCUACACCAAGGAGAGCCGCGGCUUCGCCUUCGUGCGCUUCCACGACAAGCGCGACGCCGAGGACGCCAUGGACGCCAUGGAUGGCGCCGUGCUGGACGGCCGCGAGCUGCGCGUGCAGAUGGCCCGCUACGGCCGCCCGCCCGACUCGCACCACAGCCGCCGCGGGCCGCCGCCGCGCCGCUACAGCAGCGGAUACGGGCGCCGCAGCCGCAGCCCCCGAAGACGCCGCCGCAGCCGGUCCAGGAGCAGGAGCCGCUCGAGGUCCCGCAGCCGGUCCCGCUACAGCAGAUCCAAGUCGAGGUCCCGCACGCGCUCCAGGUCGCGCUCCACCUCCAAGUCCAGGUCUGCCCGGAGAUCCAAAUCGAAGUCAUCCUCCGUCUCCAGAUCCCGGUCAAGGUCGCGAUCCCGGUCGAGGUCUAGGAGCCCUCCGCCUGUCUCCAAGAGAGAAUCUAACUCCAGAUCGAGGUCUAAGAGUCCCCCUAAGUCUCCUGAAGAGGAAGGAGCUGUAUCGUCUUAGAAAAAUGGUAAGGUAGCUAGGGAACAGCGCUGUCCGCAUGUUAAAUUCGUUUUAGCAUUUAAGUGGGUUGUUGGGUAGUUAAGUGUAUUAACAGACUGAACCAAAUGAAUCCUAAUGGGGAACCGUGCUUUCCAUUUAUUUGGUUAGGGAUAUAAGUACUAAAGGACUUCCUUCAAAAGACACAUUUUUGUGGGUGUUUUAGAUUAAUGGCUUGCUUUUAAUAAAAUACUGUAUGAGACCUAUAAAUGAAAAUGACUAUUUCUUACUGUAUUUAUCCAACAUCUGCAUUUUCCCCUUUAAAGCUGCGGUCUCCUGUUUGCUAAAAGAAUAUUGACCAGUAUUGCAGAUUUUAACUGAUUUGGCUGAUCCUCCAGGGACCAGUUUCUGUGGGCGUGUAUUGGAGCAGGUUUGUCUUUAAAAUGUUAAAGAUGCACUAUCCUUUGGUACCGGAAAAGUGGCACAGGGAUGGAUGUUCUGACUGGAGGUAACCAUCUUUCUAGAAGCAGCAAAUGCACGAAGAUUGAUGAAAACCAGGUUUUCCUCCAUUCCACAAAGCUUUUGAGGAUGCACUGGGUGGGGAAAGGAUAGUGUGUCUUUAACCCCUCAAACUGUUUGGUCCUGUUUUUUAUUAAAAAGGAAAGGGCCUUUAGCUCUAACAUUAAGUUGCUGUAUUGGCUCUAGUGAUGUUUUCCCACAUUGUCUUGAAUGUCAAUUGCAGGCUAAAUAGUUAAGUUUAUAUAAAGUAUUAGUUUUCUGUAACAUUAUGUUAACUUAUUCUUACUCAGGCUGAAUUCAAGUUAAGUGCUUUGACUAACAGCCUGAUCUCCACAACAACUCUAAUAUAUUAAAGUGAUAAAUAAAUAGAACUGUAAUAUCUAACCAUUCAGUUUAAUUUGGUCUUUGAAUUGGACCAUGGGGGGGAGGUGGAACACCACGGUCGUGCUUAAAACUUAAUGAAACUAGACCAGGGCAUCUGAAACUACUAGAAGUAUGUCCGAAGUCAUCCACAUGAGGUAUGUCAUGAAAACUUUGACUGAACUUUUCUCUCUUCAAACCUAGAUGCAUCAGACAAAUGAGAGAGCUACGUAAAGGACGCCUCUGGGAGAAGAUAACUUGAGUCUUCAGUCCGUUGGAGAGACCCCUGGUACAAGCAACCAGCUGUUGAAAAGGCGCAGUUGUGUAGCAGUUGAGUAAUGCUGGUUAGCUGUUAAGGUGGCGUGUUGCAGUGCAGAGUGCUUGGCUGUUUCCUGUUUUCUCCUGAUUGCUCCAGUGUAACGAUGCCUUGUCGUGCAGAAACAAAUGGCUGUCCAGUUAAUUAAAAUGCCUGACAACUGCACUUCCAGUCACCCGGGCCUUGCAUAAAAAUAAUGGAGCAUACAGUGAGCACAUCUAGCAGAUGAUAUACACACCUUAUUUUUUCCAGAAUGGUAAAUCUUACCAUCUUCAUGUAUGAACUUGCAUAUGAGAAUUAUAAUGUUAAGAAAGCAGAUGGUUCAUUCCUUUGUAAGUAACUGAUUGGUGUAUCUUUUGCUUAAGACAUUCUGUACUAUAACCACUGUCUCUGUAGUUUAAUAUUAAACUUUUUUUUUGUGUUAAUUUUUCUCA